UACGUAGGUGGCGAGCGUUAUCCGGAAUUAUUGGGCGUAAAGAGCGCGCAGGUGGUUGAUUAAGUCUGAUGUGAAAGCCCACGGCUUAACCGUGGAGGGUCAUUGGAAACUGGUCGACUUGAGUGCAGAAGGGGGAAGUGGAAUUCCAUGUGUAGCGGUGAAAUGCGUAGAGAUAUGGAGGAACACCAGUGGCGAAGGCGGCUUCCUGGUCUGUAACUGACACUGAGGCGCGAAAGCGUGGGGAGCAAACAGGAUUAGAUACCCCUGUA
rnacentral:rRNA from 1 species